rnacentral:rRNA from 1 species
GACGAACCGUGCAAACGUUAUUCGGAAUCACUGGGCAUAAAGGGCGCGUAGGCGGCUUUCUAAGUCAGGGGUGGAAUCCGGCAGCUCAACUGUCGCAGUGCCUUUGAUACUGGAGAGCUCGAGGGAGGUAGGGGUCUGUGGAACUUCCGGUGGAGCGGUGAAAUGCGUUGAUAUCGGAAGGAACACCAGUGGCGAAAGCGGCUUCCUGGUCCAGCACCGACGUUCAGGCACGAAAGCGUGGGGAGCAAACAGG